rnacentral:rRNA from 1 species
CCCCCUACGGGAGGCAGCAGUGGGGAAUAUUGCACAAUGGGGGGAACCCUGAUGCAGCGACGCCGCGUGGGCGAUGGAGUAUUUCGGUAUGUAAAGCCCUAUCGGCAGGGAAGAAACUGACAGUACCUGACUAAGAAGCCCCGGCUAACUACGUGCCAGCAGCCGCGGUAAUACGUGGGGGGCAAGCGUUAUCUGGAUUCACUGGGCGGAAAGGGAGCGCAGGCGGCACGGCAAGCCUGGGGUGAAAACCCGGGGCCCAACCCCGGGAGUGCAUUGGGAACUGCCCCGC